rnacentral:rRNA from 1 species
AACCCUGUGAACAUACCUAUAACGUUGCCUCGGCGGGAACAGACGGCCCCGUAACACGGGCCGCCCCCGCCAGAGGACCCCCUAACUCUGUUUCUAUAAUGUUUCUUCUGAGUAAACAAGCAAAUAAAUUAAAACUUUCAACAACGGAUCUCUUGGCUCUGGCAUCGAUGAAGAACGCAGCGAAAUGCGAUAAGUAAUGUGAAUUGCAGAAUUCAGUGAAUCAUCGAAUCUUUGAACGCACAUUGCGCCCGCCAGUAUUCUGGCGGGCAUGCCUGUUCGAGCGUCAUUACAACCCUCAGGCCCCCGGGCCUGGCGUUGGGGAUCGGCGGAAGCCCCCUGCGGGCACAACGCCGUCCCCCAAAUACAGUGGCGGUCCCGCCGCAGCUUCCAUUGCGUAGUAGCUAACACCUCGCAACUGGAGAGCGGCGCGGCCACGCCGUAAAACACCCAACUUCUGAAUGUUGACCUCGAAUCAGGUAGGAAUACCCGCUGAACUUAAGCAUAUCAAUA